rnacentral:rRNA from 1 species
GGGUUGUGAGGUUAAGCGACUAAGCGUACACGGUGGAUGCCCUGGCAGUCAGAGGCGAUGAAGGACGUGCUAAUCUGCGAUAAGCGUCGGUAAGGUGAUAUGAACCGUUAUAACCGGCGAUUUCCGAAUGGGGAAACCCAGUGUGAUUCGUCACACUAUCAUUAACUGAAUCCAUAGGUUAAUGAGGCGAACCGGGGGAACUGAAACAUCUAAGUACCCCGAGGAAAAGAAAUCAACCGAGAUUCCCCCAGUAGCGGCGAGCGAACGGGGAGCAGCCCAGAGCCUGAAUCAGUGUGUGUGUUAGUGGAAGCGUCUGGAAAGGCGCGCGAUACAGGGUGACAGCCCCGUACACAAAAAUGCACAUGCUGUGAGCUCGAUGAGUAGGGCGGGACACGUGGUAUCCUGUCUGAAUAUGGGGGGACCAUCCUCCAAGGCUAAAUACUCCUGACUGACCGAUAGUGAACCAGUACCGUGAGGGAAAGGCGAAAAGAACCCCGGCGAGGGGAGUGAAAAAGAACCUGAAACCGUGUACGUACAAGCAGUGGGAGCACAGAGCAAUCUGUGUGACUGCGUACCUUUUGUAUAAUGGGUCAGCGACUUAUAUUCUGUAGCAAGGUUAACCGAAUAGGGGAGCCGAAGGGAAACCGAGUCUUAACUGGGCGUUAAGUUGCAGGGUAUAGACCCGAAACCCGGUGAUCUAGCCAUGGGCAGGUUGAAGGUUGGGUAACACUAACUGGAGGACCGAACCGACUAAUGUUGAAAAAUUAGCGGAUGACUUGUGGCUGGGGGUGAAAGGCCAAUCAAACCGGGAGAUAGCUGGUUCUCCCCGAAAGCUAUUUAGGUAGCGCCUCGUGAAUUCAUCUCCGGGGGUAGAGCACUGUUUCGGCAAGGGGGUCAUCCCGACUUACCAACCCGAUGCAAACUGCGAAUACCGGAGAAUGUUAUCACGGGAGACACACGGCGGGUGCUAACGUCCGUCGUGAAGAGGGAAACAACCCAGACCGCCAGCUAAGGUCCCAAAGUCAUGGUUAAGUGGGAAACGAUGUGGGAAGGCCCAGACAGCCAGGAUGUUGGCUUAGAAGCAGCCAUCAUUUAAAGAAAGCGUAAUAGCUCACUGGUCGAGUCGGCCUGCGCGGAAGAUGUAACGGGGCUAAACCAUGCACCGAAGCUGCGGCAGCGACGCUUAUGCGUUGUUGGGUAGGGGAGCGUUCUGUAAGCCUGUGAAGGUGUACUGUGAGGUAUGCUGGAGGUAUCAGAAGUGCGAAUGCUGACAUAAGUAACGAUAAAGCGGGUGAAAAGCCCGCUCGCCGGAAGACCAAGGGUUCCUGUCCAACGUUAAUCGGGGCAGGGUGAGUCGACCCCUAAGGCGAGGCCGAAAGGCGUAGUCGAUGGGAAACAGGUUAAUAUUCCUGUACUUGGUGUUACUGCGAAGGGGGGACGGAGAAGGCUAUGUUGGCCGGGCGACGGUUGUCCCGGUUUAAGCGUGUAGGCUGGUUUUCCAGGCAAAUCCGGAAAAUCAAGGCUGAGGCGUGAUGACGAGGCACUACGGUGCUGAAGCAACAAAUGCCCUGCUUCCAGGAAAAGCCUCUAAGCAUCAGGUAACAUCAAAUCGUACCCCAAACCGACACAGGUGGUCAGGUAGAGAAUACCAAGGCGCUUGAGAGAACUCGGGUGAAGGAACUAGGCAAAAUGGUGCCGUAACUUCGGGAGAAGGCACGCUGAUAUGUAGGUGAAGUCCCUCGCGGAUGGAGCUGAAAUCAGUCGAAGAUACCAGCUGGCUGCAACUGUUUAUUAAAAACACAGCACUGUGCAAACACGAAAGUGGACGUAUACGGUGUGACGCCUGCCCGGUGCCGGAAGGUUAAUUGAUGGGGUUAGCGCAAGCGAAGCUCUUGAUCGAAGCCCCGGUAAACGGCGGCCGUAACUAUAACGGUCCUAAGGUAGCGAAAUUCCUUGUCGGGUAAGUUCCGACCUGCACGAAUGGCGUAAUGAUGGCCAGGCUGUCUCCACCCGAGACUCAGUGAAAUUGAACUCGCUGUGAAGAUGCAGUGUACCCGCGGCAAGACGGAAAGACCCCGUGAACCUUUACUAUAGCUUGACACUGAACAUUGAGCCUUGAUGUGUAGGAUAGGUGGGAGGCUUUGAAGUGUGGACGCCAGUCUGCAUGGAGCCGGCCUUGAAAUACCACCCUUUAAUGUUUGAUGUUCUAACGUGGACCCGUAAUCCGGGUUGCGGACAGUGUCUGGUGGGUAGUUUGACUGGGGCGGUCUCCUCCUAAAGAGUAACGGAGGAGCACGAAGGUUGGCUAAUCCUGGUCGGACAUCAGGAGGUUAGUGCAAUGGCAUAAGCCAGCUUGACUGCGAGCGUGACGGCGCGAGCAGGUGCGAAAGCAGGUCAUAGUGAUCCGGUGGUUCUGAAUGGAAGGGCCAUCGCUCAACGGAUAAAAGGUACUCCGGGGAUAACAGGCUGAUACCGCCCAAGAGUUCAUAUCGACGGCGGUGUUUGGCACCUCGAUGUCGGCUCAUCACAUCCUGGGGCUGAAGUAGGUCCCAAGGGUAUGGCUGUUCGCCAUUUAAAGUGGUACGCGAGCUGGGUUUAGAACGUCGUGAGACAGUUCGGUCCCUAUCUGCCGUGGGCGCUGGAGAACUGAGGGGGGCUGCUCCUAGUACGAGAGGACCGGAGUGGACGCAUCACUGGUGUUCGGGUUGUCAUGCCAAUGGCACUGCCCGGUAGCUAAAUGCGGAAGAGAUAAGUGCUGAAAGCAUCUAAGCACGAAACUUGCCCCGAGAUGAGUUCUCCCUGACUCCUUGAGAGUCCUGAAGGAACGUUGAAGACGACGACGUUGAUAGGCCGGGUGUGUAAGCGCAGCGAUGCGUUGAGCUAACCGGUACUAAUGAACCGUGAGGCUUAACCUUACAACGCCGAAG